GGAGAGUUGCCUGAGAGGCCGAAAGGAACAGUUUGCUAAACUGUCGUACUGGUAACGGUACCGAGGGUUCGAAUCCCUCACUCUCCG
rnacentral:tRNA from 2 species